UACGUAGGGUGCGAGCGUUGUCCGGAAUUACUGGGCGUAAAGAGCUCGUAGGUGGUUUGUCGCGUUGUUCGUGAAAAACUCACAGCUUAACUGUGGGCGUGCGGGCGAUACGGGCAGACUGGAGUACUGCAGGGGAGACUGGAAUUCCUGGUGUAGCGGUGGAAUGCGCAGAUAUCAGGAGGAACACCGGUGGCGAAGGCGGGUCUCUGGGCCGAUACUGACGCUGAGGAGCGAAAGCGUGGGGAGCGAACAGG
rnacentral:rRNA from 1 species